rnacentral:rRNA from 1 species
CGAUUCCCUUAGUAGCGGCGAGCGAAACGGGAAGAGCCCAAACCAACAAGCUUGCUUGUUGGGGUUGUAGGACACUCUAUACGGAGUUACAAAGGACGACAUUAGACGAAUCAUCUGGAAAGAUGAAUCAAAGAAGGUAAUAAUCCUGUAGUCGAAAAUGUUGUCUCUCUUGAGUGGAUCCUGAGUACGACGGAACACGUGAAAUUCCGUCGGAAUCUGGGAGGACCAUCUCCUAAGGCUAAAUACUUUCUAGUGACCGAUAGUGAACCAGUACCGUGAGGGAAAGGUGAAAAGCACCCCGGAAGGGGAGUGAAAUAGAACCUGAAACCGUGUGCUUACAAGUAGUCAGAGCCCGUUAAUGGGUGAUGGCGUGCCUUUUGUAGAAUGAACCGGCGAGUUACGAUUUGAUGCAAGGUUAAGCAGUAAAUGUGGAGCCGUAGCGAAAGCGAGUCUGAAUAGGGCGUUUAGUAUUUGGUCGUAGACCCGAAACCAGGUGAUCUACCCUUGGUCAGGUUGAAGUUCAGGUAACACUGAAUGGAGGACCGAACCGACUUACGUUGAAAAGUGAGCGGAUGAACUGAGGGUAGCGGAGAAAUUCCAAUCGAACCUGGAGAUAGCUGGUUCUCUCCGAAAUAGCUUUAGGGCUAGCCUCAAGUGAUGAUUAUUGGAGGUAGAGCACUGUUUGGACGAGGGGCCCCUCUCGGGUUACCGAAUUCAGACAAACUCCGAAUGCCAAUUAAUUUAACUUGGGAGUCAGAACAUGGGUGAUAAGGUCCGUGUUCGAAAGGGAAACAGCCCAGACCACCAGCUAAGGUCCCAAAAUAUAUGUUAAGUGGAAAAGGAUGUGGCGUUGCCCAGACAACUAGGAUGUUGGCUUAGAAGCAGCCAUCAUUUAAAGAGUGCGUAAUAGCUCACUAGUCGAGUGACACUGCGCCGAAAAUGUACCGGGGCUAAACAUAUUACCGAAGCUGUGGAUUGUCCUUUGGACAAUGGUAGGAGAGCGUUCUAAGGGCGUUGAAGCAUGAUCGUAAGGACAUGUGGAGCGCUUAGAAGUGAGAAUGCCGGUGUGAGUAGCGAAAGACGGGUGAGAAUCCCGUCCACCGAUUGACUAAGGUUUCCAGAGGAAGGCUCGUCCGCUCUGGGUUAGUCGGGUCCUAAGCUGAGGCCGACAGGCGUAGGCGAUGGAUAACAGGUUGAUAUUCCUGUACCACCUAUAAUCGUUUUA